CAAUAAAGAAAACAUGGUAAUGAGCAUAUAAAUUCAAUUGGGUCUCUAGGCCUGCCCUCUCUGAUGCCAUUUGGCUUUGAUUUGGGGACAUAGUUCCGCAGCAAAACA